rnacentral:rRNA from 1 species
UGGGGAAUAUUGCACAAUGGAGGAAACUCUGAUGCAGCAACGCCGCGUGAGUGAUGAAGGUCUUCGGAUUGUAAAACUCUGUCUUCUGGGACGAUAAUGACGGUACCAGAGGAGGAAGCCNCGGCUAACUACGUG